GCGGAAGUAGCUCAGUGGUAGAGCAUCGCCUUGCCAAGGCGAGGGUUGCGGGUUCCCCCCUACGGGGAUUUCGGCUGCGACUCAAGAAUCCCGUCUUCCGCUCCA
rnacentral:tRNA from 1 species